AUGGCGGGCGGAUCAGACGGCACCGACGUGCCGGCCGGCGGCGAGAUCUGGGGCACGCUGGAGGAGCUGCUGCUGGCGUUCGCCGUGUGCCGGCACGGCACGGCCAGCUGGGACUCGGUGGCCACGGAGGUGCAGGCGCGGUGCCCGCUGGCCGCCCGCCCCCGCCUCACGCCCGGCAGCUGCCGCCUCCGCUUCCACCAGCUCCACCGACGCUUCUCCGCCGGCGGCGGGGCGGAGGAGGAGGAGCAGGAGGAUGGGGAGGUCGGCCCUGAGGCCGAGGCCUCCGCCGCCGACGGGUGGCUGGACGAGCUCCGGCGCCUCCGCGUCGCCGAGCUCCGGCGCGAGGUCGAGCGAUGCGAUCUCUCCAUCGGGACGUUGCAGAGCAAGGUGGAGCUGAUGAAGGAGGAGCGGGAGCGGAGCCUGUCGAGCGGCGAGGCGAAGCCGGAGGGGGUGACCGGCGACGAGAACGUGUCGAGCGAGGAGCCCGGGCGGUCGUGCCGGGAGUCCAACUCCACAGAUCUGAAGCGCCCCGGCGCCGCCGCCAAGGCGGCUGAGGAGGCGGCCAAGGAGGAGCUGUCCGGGGAGUCCAAGGAGAGCGCCGUGAGCCUGCAGUGCCGGCGGCGGAAGGCGAGCGCCGAGGAGGAGGCCGACGAGCCGCUGGCCGCCCUGCUCGACAGGGUCGCCGCCAGGUUCGGCCCCGUGUUCGAGCAGCUGCAGGAGAGCCAGGAGAGCGAGUCGUACCGGGGCACGAUCAGGCGGCACGUGGACCUGGAGGCCAUGCGCCGGAAGCUGGACGGCGCGGCGGGCUACGCCAGCAGCGCCGAGCUCUACCGCGACCUGCUGCUGCUCUGCGCCAACGCCGCCGUCUACCUCCCGCGCCACGCGCCCGACCACGCCGCCGCCGCGCUCAACGCCCUCCGCCUCGUCUCCGCGCAGGUCUCCGCCUCGCUCCGCGAGUCCCCGACCAAGCGGGAGCCGCCGAGCGGCGCCAACCCCCCACCGGCGCCGGCGGUGGGGCUGGACCCUCGGAGGGCCGAGGCCGACAUCGUCGGGCCGCUCAUCCAGAAAGCUGCCAAGCCGCUCAUCUUCUGCCGCAAGAGGAGCUCCAUCGCCAAGGCUGCCGCGGCGGCGGCCGUCGCUAGGAAGGAGGAGGCCGCGGAGAAGCGGGACGUUGAGGAGGAGGCUGAGAGCGACGGCGAGAAGAAGGCCGCCGUGGCCGCGGCGGCCAAGGGCAAGGCGUGGGGUACGGGGACGAAGAAGACCCGCGGCCCCGGCAAGAACUCGGCUCUGAGCCGCAAGAAGGCGGCGGCAGCUGCGGAAGAAGCGGCUUCGGCGGCGGCUGAGAAGAAGGACAACGGGGACUCCGACGGGGCGGCCGCCGGUGGGCUGCCCAAGAAGCGGAUCGCCGUGGACUUCCUGAAGCGGCUGAACCAGGGCAAGUCGUCGCCCCCGAAGAAGAGAGGGUCGCCGCUGACGAAGCGGAAGCGGUCGGCGCCGGCGCCGGAGGAGGAGGAGGAGCAGCAGCCCAAGGCCAGGAGGGGGCCAGGCAGGAAGAACACCGGCCGCGGUGGCUCCAAGGCAGGAGCCAAGUCUAGCGCGACGAAGAAAAGUGUCGGGCGGCCACAGAAACGGGGCGCUGCUCCGGCGACUCCGCCGCCGGCAAAGAGGGCCAAGGUGAACAGGUCGGAGAGGUCCUCCUCGUCGUCGAGGCGAGGAGGGAGGAAGUAG
rnacentral:rRNA from 1 species